rnacentral:rRNA from 1 species
AGUAAAGUGGCGUACGGGUGAGUAACACGUGACUAACCUACCCUCGAGUGGGGAAUAACCUAGAGAAAUCUGGGCUAAUACCGCAUAACACUUACGAGUCAAAGCAGCAAUGCGCUUGAGGAGGGGGUCGCGGCCGAUUAGCUAGUUGGCGGGGUAAUGGCCCACCAAGGCGAUGAUCGGUAUCCGGCCUGAGAGGGCGCACGGACACACUGGAACUGAAACACGGUCCAGACUCCUACGGGAGGCAGCAGUGGGGAAUUUUGCGCAAUGGGG